rnacentral:sRNA from 4 species
AUGUCCACUCGUACACUGCGGUUCUGAGCGCGCCUUCCGCACCCACCUGACGAGCGCUCGCUACAUUUUGUUAGCC